rnacentral:ncRNA from 1 species
GGUCAAGCAACUAAGCGCAUACGGUGGAUGCCUUGGCAGUCAGAGGCGAUGAAGGACGUAGAAACCUGCGAAAAGCCUCGGGGAGCUGGUAAACAAGCUUUGAUCCGAGGAUGUCCGAAUGGGGAAACCCACCCAGUGUAAGCUGGGUAUCGUAUCGUGAAUACAUAGCGAUGCGAGGCGAACCCGGGGAACUGAAACAUCUAAGUACCCGGAGGAAAAGAAAUCAACCGAGAUUCCGAA